rnacentral:rRNA from 1 species
UUAAGCGACUAAGCGUACACGGUGGAUGCCCUGGCAGUCAGAGGCGAUGAAGGACGUGCUAAUCUGCGAUAAGCGUCGGUAAGGUGAUAUGAACCGUUAUAACCGGCGAUUUCCGAAUGGGGAAACCCAGUGUGAUUCGUCACACUAUCAUUAACUGAAUCCAUAGGUUAAUGAGGCGAACCGGGGGAACUGAAACAUCUAAGUACCCCGAGGAAAAGAAAUCAACCGAGAUUCCCCCAGUAGCGGCGAGCGAACGGGGAGCAGCCCAGAGCCUGAAUCAGUGUGUGUGUUAGUGGAAGCGUCUGGAAAGGCGCGCGAUACAGGGUGACAGCCCCGUACACAAAAAUGCACAUACUGUGAGCUCGAUGAGUAGGGCGGGACACGUGGUAUCCUGUCUGAAUAUGGGGGGACCAUCCUCCAAGGCUAAAUACUCCUGACUGACCGAUAGUGAACCAGUACCGUGAGGGAAAGGCGAAAAGAACCCCGGCGAGGGGAGUGAAAAAGAACCUGAAACCGUGUACGUACAAGCAGUGGGAGCCUCUUUUAUGGGGUGACUGCGUACCUUUUGUAUAAUGGGUCAGCGACUUAUAUUCUGUAGCAAGGUUAACCGAAUAGGGGAGCCGAAGGGAAACCGAGUCUUAACUGGGCGUUAAGUUGCAGGGUAUAGACCCGAAACCCGGUGAUCUAGCCAUGGGCAGGUUGAAGGUUGGGUAACACUAACUGGAGGACCGAACCGACUAAUGUUGAAAAAUUAGCGGAUGACUUGUGGCUGGGGGUGAAAGGCCAAUCAAACCGGGAGAUAGCUGGUUCUCCCCGAAAGCUAUUUAGGUAGCGCCUCGUGAAUUCAUCUCCGGGGGUAGAGCACUGUUUCGGCAAGGGGGUCAUCCCGACUUACCAACCCGAUGCAAACUGCGAAUACCGGAGAAUGUUAUCACGGGAGACACACGGCGGGUGCUAACGUCCGUCGUGAAGAGGGAAACAACCCAGACCGCCAGCUAAGGUCCCAAAGUCAUGGUUAAGUGGGAAACGAUGUGGGAAGGCCCAGACAGCCAGGAUGUUGGCUUAGAAGCAGCCAUCAUUUAAAGAAAGCGUAAUAGCUCACUGGUCGAGUCGGCCUGCGCGGAAGAUGUAACGGGGCUAAACCAUGCACCGAAGCUGCGGCAGCGACACUAUGUGUUGUUGGGUAGGGGAGCGUUCUGUAAGCCUGUGAAGGUGUACUGUGAGGUAUGCUGGAGGUAUCAGAAGUGCGAAUGCUGACAUAAGUAACGAUAAAGCGGGUGAAAAGCCCGCUCGCCGGAAGACCAAGGGUUCCUGUCCAACGUUAAUCGGGGCAGGGUGAGUCGACCCCUAAGGCGAGGCCGAAAGGCGUAGUCGAUGGGAAACAGGUUAAUAUUCCUGUACUUGGUGUUACUGCGAAGGGGGGACGGAGAAGGCUAUGUUGGCCGGGCGACGGUUGUCCCGGUUUAAGCGUGUAGGCUGGUUUUCCAGGCAAAUCCGGAAAAUCAAGGCUGAGGCGUGAUGACGAGGCACUACGGUGCUGAAGCAACAAAUGCCCUGCUUCCAGGAAAAGCCUCUAAGCAUCAGGUAACAUCAAAUCGUACCCCAAACCGACACAGGUGGUCAGGUAGAGAAUACCAAGGCGCUUGAGAGAACUCGGGUGAAGGAACUAGGCAAAAUGGUGCCGUAACUUCGGGAGAAGGCACGCUGAUAUGUAGGUGAAGUCCCUCGCGGAUGGAGCUGAAAUCAGUCGAAGAUACCAGCUGGCUGCAACUGUUUAUUAAAAACACAGCACUGUGCAAACACGAAAGUGGACGUAUACGGUGUGACGCCUGCCCGGUGCCGGAAGGUUAAUUGAUGGGGUUAGCGGUAACGCGAAGCUCUUGAUCGAAGCCCCGGUAAACGGCGGCCGUAACUAUAACGGUCCUAAGGUAGCGAAAUUCCUUGUCGGGUAAGUUCCGACCUGCACGAAUGGCGUAAUGAUGGCCAGGCUGUCUCCACCCGAGACUCAGUGAAAUUGAACUCGCUGUGAAGAUGCAGUGUACCCGCGGCAAGACGGAAAGACCCCGUGAACCUUUACUAUAGCUUGACACUGAACAUUGAGCCUUGAUGUGUAGGAUAGGUGGGAGGCUUUGAAGUGUGGACGCCAGUCUGCAUGGAGCCGGCCUUGAAAUACCACCCUUUAAUGUUUGAUGUUCUAACGUUGGCCCCUGAUCGGGGUUGCGGACAGUGUCUGGUGGGUAGUUUGACUGGGGCGGUCUCCUCCUAAAGAGUAACGGAGGAGCACGAAGGUUGGCUAAUCCUGGUCGGACAUCAGGAGGUUAGUGCAAUGGCAUAAGCCAGCUUGACUGCGAGCGUGACGGCGCGAGCAGGUGCGAAAGCAGGUCAUAGUGAUCCGGUGGUUCUGAAUGGAAGGGCCAUCGCUCAACGGAUAAAAGGUACUCCGGGGAUAACAGGCUGAUACCGCCCAAGAGUUCAUAUCGACGGCGGUGUUUGGCACCUCGAUGUCGGCUCAUCACAUCCUGGGGCUGAAGUAGGUCCCAAGGGUAUGGCUGUUCGCCAUUUAAAGUGGUACGCGAGCUGGGUUUAGAACGUCGUGAGACAGUUCGGUCCCUAUCUGCCGUGGGCGCUGGAGAACUGAGGGGGGCUGCUCCUAGUACGAGAGGACCGGAGUGGACGCAUCACUGGUGUUCGGGUUGUCAUGCCAAUGGCACUGCCCGGUAGCUAAAUGCGGAAGAGAUAAGUGCUGAAAGCAUCUAAGCACGAAACUUGCCCCGAGAUGAGUUCUCCCUGACUCCUUGAGAGUCCUGAAGGAACGUUGAAGACGACGACGUUGAUAGGCCGGGUGUGUAAGCGCAGCGAUGCGUUGAGCUAACCGGUACUAAUGAACCGUGAGGCUUAACCUU